UACGUAGGGUGCGAGCGUUAAUCGGAAUUACUGGGCGUAAAGCGUGCGCAGGCGGUCUCGCAAGUCCGAUGUGAAAUCCCCGGGCUCAACCUGGGAACUGCGUUGGAAACUACGAGGCUGGAGUACGGCAGAGGGGGGUGGAAUUCCCGGUGUAGCGGUGAAAUGCGCAGAUAUCGGGAGGAACACCCGUAGCGAAGGCGGCAUCCUGGACCGGCAUUGACGCUGAGGCGCGAAAGCCAGGGGAGCAAACGGG
rnacentral:rRNA from 1 species